UCUUUCAAUUGUAAUUUUUUUCAAUUGUAAUUUUUAUUUUACUGCAUUUUAUUAUUAUUAUUAUUUUUAUCAUUUAUUUUCUUUUCUAUUCUUUUCUCUUUCUUUCUUCUCUCCCUCUCUCUUUCUUGGUUUGCGUCCUUACCUUUUCCCCAUCUUUCCUCUUAAGCAUGAACACCCAGAUUACAUAUAACUUACUAAAUGCAAAUAGAUGAAUACUACAAAUAGGUCUAUAGUCCCCCUAAGCCCUUAACUACCCCCAAGUACUCCUGUCUAUUCUCUUGUUAAUAUCUGCCUGCAUUUGAGCAACCCCCCAAAGAAGCUAACAUAUACUAACCUCCAUACCAUCAAAUCGCCCGACCUUAACAUAAAAUCCUAAGUCCAAACCUCAAUUCUCUAUAUGCCAUCAAAAUCUGAAGGCCUUUAAUGAAACUAAUGAAUUUACCUAAAUCACAAUUAAAUCCAACAUCUCUAAACAUUGUCUCCUAACACAAAGGAGAGAUAGUGGAACUAUAAAAACCAAAACAAAUUUAAAGGAGAAAACAGAAACACAGCAGUCAAACAGAGUUGGAAAGUAACUUGAGCACCAUGAAAAAACAAGGGAAAAAAGGAUUACAAACAAUGCAGGACAACUUAAAU
rnacentral:lncRNA from 1 species